AGAGUUUGAUCAUGGCUCAGGAUGAACGCUAGCUACGGGCUUAACACAUGCAAGUCGAGGGGAAACGACAUCGAAAGCUUGCUUUUGAUGGGCGUCGACCGGCGCACGGGUGAGUAACGCGUAUCCAACCUGCCCAUCACUUGGGGAUAACCUUGCGAAAGUAAGACUAAUACCCGAUGAUAUCUCUAGACGACAUCUGAAAGGGAUUAAAGAUCUAUCGGUGAUGGAUGGGGAUGCGUCUGAUUAGCUUGUUGGCGGGGUAACGGCCCACCAAGGCAACGAUCAGUAGGGGUUCUGAGAGGAAGGUCCCCCACAUUGGAACUGAGACACGGUCCAAACUCCUACGGGAGGCAGCAGUGAGGAAUAUUGGUCAAUGGGCGAGAGCCUGAACCAGCCAAGUAGCGUGCAGGACGACGGCCCUAUGGGUUGUAAACUGCUUUUAUAAGGGAAUAAAGUGAGUCUCGUGAGACUUUUUGCAUGUACCUUAUGAAUAAGGACCGGCUAAUUCCGUGCCAGCAGCCGCGGUAAUACGGAAGGUCCGGGCGUUAUCCGGAUUUAUUGGGUUUAAAGGGAGCGUAGGCCGGAGAUUAAGCGUGUUGUGAAAUGUAGGCGCUCAACGUCUGCACUGCAGCGCGAACUGGUUUCCUUGAGUACGCACAAAGUGGGCGGAAUUCGUGGUGUAGCGGUGAAAUGCUUAGAUAUCACGAAGAACUCCGAUUGCGAAGGCAGCUCACUGGACUGUAACUGACACUGAGGUACGAAAGCGUGGGGAGCAAACAGGAUUAGAUACCCUGGUAGUCCACGCCGUAAACGAUGAGCACUAGGUGUCGGGGUCGCAAGACUUCGGUGCCGCAGUUAACGCAUUAAGUGCUCCGCCCGGGGAGUACGUUCGCAAGAAUGGAACUCAAAGGAAUUGACGGGGACCCGCACAAGCAGCGGAGCAUGUGGUUUAAUUCGAAGCCACGCGAAGAACCUUACCAGGGCUUGACAUCCCUCUGACAGAUCCUUAAACGGAUUUUUCUUCGGACAGAGGAGACAGGUGGUGCAUGGUUGUCGUCAGCUCGUGUCGUGAGAUGUUGGGUUAAGUCCCGCAACGAGCGCAACCCUUGUCAUUAGUUGCCAGCAGUAAGAUGGGCACUCUAGUGAGACUGCCGGGGAUAACUCGGAGGAAGGUGGGGAUGACGUCAAAUCAUCAUGCCCCUUAUGUUCUGGGCUACACACGUGCUACAAUGGCCGGUACAGAGAGAAGCCAGACCGCGAGGUGGAGCAAAACUCAAAAGCCGGUCCCAGUUCGGAUUGCAGGCUGCAACUCGCCUGCAUGAAGUCGGAGUUGCUAGUAAUCGCAGAUCAGAAUGCUGCGGUGAAUGCGUUCCCGGGUCUUGUACACACCGCCCGUCACACCAUGGAAGUUGGGGGCGCCCGAAGUUGGUCGAGAAAUAGAUUACCUAAGGCGAAAUCAAUGACUGGGGCGAAGUCGUAACAAGGUA
rnacentral:rRNA from 1 species